UACGUAGGGUGCAAGCGUUGUCCGGAAUUAUUGGGCGUAAAGAGCUCGUAGGCGGUCUGUCGCGUCUGCUGUGAAAACUCAGGGCUUAACCCUGAGCUUGCAGUGGGUACGGGCAGACUAGAGUGCGGUAGGGGAGACUGGAAUCCCUGGUGUAGCGGUGAAAUGCGCAGAUAUCAGGAGGAACACCGGUGGCGAAGGCGGGUCUCUGGGCCGUAACUGACGCUGAGGAGCGAAAGCAUGGGGAGCGAACAGG
rnacentral:rRNA from 1 species